rnacentral:tRNA from 1 species
GUCUGGGUGGCUCAGUCGGUUGGGCGUCUGACUUCGGCUCAGGUCAUGAUUUCACGGUUUGUGGGUUUGAGCCCCGCAUCGGGCU